rnacentral:lncRNA from 1 species
GGGCAGACUCGCAGGCCAGCCUCUUGGAGGGUCUGCGGGGGUGAAUUUCCUUCCUUGUGGGUCAGUGAGCUUUUCCCCUUCCAGCUGCUCCAAGAAGCAAUCGCUUCUCUUCGUGGGCAACAGAUGUCAGAAGUCAGGCAGUGCUGGUGCGGCUGGAGGAGGGGAAAUGGUCCAGCCCUUCUCUGCCUGACCCCAGCGUUUCUUGGCCCAUCUCCCCCGUCCGUUUAGGAACAGAAGGGUCAUCUUUUCCUUGUCCCUUGCAGCUCCUGACAGCUGGACAGAGGAAAGCACAGCGUGUUGGCAGAGGCGGUGCCUGUCAGCAGGUUUGUGCACACAAAGGGGGGCUUCCUUUUCCUGCCCUGCUGGUGGGGAGGAGUGUGUGUGUGGGGGGGUGGUGGCCACUGUGGAUCCACCCCUCAGACUUUCCACUUGGCGCCUGGGGAGCCAACUCCAAAGCCAAACACAAACCUCUAGAAAAAAACAUCUGCUGGGUUAAUGUUUGAAGAACCUGAAGACACUGGUUGGAAACGGUCCAGUUCUGUUCAGAGGGGAAUCUAAUCCCACUUAAUCAAGGAACAAAGUUCAGAGGUGUGGGAGGCAAGCCUGCGACGUGCUUCUGUUUUGGUAACUGGGAAGCUUUGUCACCAGAAUUGAUGGGAAGAAGCUGAAAGAGGGACCCAUUUUCCUCCUGCAAGCUCAAAUCUGGCCAAAGUAGAGCAUGGUGCUAUGAACGUGCUCCAUGGCUGGGCAGGGAACAGGGCAAAAGUGGGUGCUCCUGAGUUUAGACUGUCCCAUGUUGUGAAGUUUUUUGGGGAA